rnacentral:rRNA from 1 species
AACGUAGGUCACAAGCGUUGUCCGGAAUUACUGGGUGUAAAGGGAGCGCAGGCGGGAAGACAAGUUGGAAGUGAAAUCUAUGGGCUCAACCCAUAAACUGCUUUCAAAACUGUUUUUCUUGAGUAGUGCAGAAGUAGGCGGAAUUCCCGGUGUAGCGGUGGAAUGCGUAGAUAUCGGGAGGAACACCAGUGGCGAAGGCGGCCUACUGGGCACCAACUGACGCUGAGGCUCGAAAGUGUGGGUAGCAAACAGG